GUUCGGAUUGCAGGCUGCAACUCGCCUGCAUGAAGUCGGAGUUGCUAGUAAUCGCAGAUCAGAAUGCUGCGGUGAAUGCGUUCCCGGGUCUUGUACACACCGCCCGUCACACCAUGGAAGUUGGGGGCGCCCGAAGUCGGCUAGGAAAUAGGCUGCCUAAGGUGAAACCAAUGACUGGGGUGAAGUCGUAACAAGGUACC
rnacentral:rRNA from 1 species